rnacentral:rRNA from 1 species
GAUGAACGCUAGCGGCAGGCCUAAUACAUGCAAGUCGAGGGGCAGCACAGUUUUCGGACUGGUGGCGACCGGCGCACGGGUGCGUAACGCGUAUGCAAUCUACCUUAUACAGGAGGAUAGCCCGGGGAAACUCGGAUUAAUACUCCAUAGUAUCAUAGAUAGGCAUCUUGAAAUGAUUAAAGAUUUAUUGGUAUAAGAUGAGCAUGCGUCUGAUUAGUUUGUUGGUGAGGUAACGGCUCACCAAGACGAUGAUCAGUAGGGGUUCUGAGAGGAUGAUCCCCCACACUGGCACUGAGAUACGGGCCAGACUCCUACGGGAGGCAGCAGUAGGGAAUAUUGGUCAAUGGGCGAGAGCCUGAACCAGCCAUGCCGCGUGCAGGAUGACGGCCUUAUGGGUUGUAAACUGCUUUUAUACGGGAAGAAAAAGUCCUUGCGAGGAAAAUUGCCGGUACCGUAUGAAUAAGCACCGGCUAACUCCGUGCCAGCCGCCGCCGUAACAC